GAUGAGCGCUGGCGGCAUGCCUAACACAUGCAAGUCGUACGAGUCUGCACUUGUGCAGUAUGUAGUGGCGAACGGGUGAGUAAUGCGUAAGAAUCAACCCCUUGAGAGGGAUAACAACGAGAAAUUGUUGCUAAUACCUCGUAAUGCUGAGGAGCUAAAGGUAAUAACCGCCAAGGUGACGAGCUUGCGUCCGAUUAGCUAGUUGGAAAGGUAAUGGCUUCCAAGGCAACGAUCGGUAGCUGGUCUGAGAGGAUGAUCAGCCACACUGGGACUGAGACACGCCCAGACUCUUACGGGAGGCAGCAGUGGGGAAUUUUCCGCAAUGGGCGAAAGCCUGACGAGCAAUGCCGCGUGAAGGAUGAAGGCCUGUGGGUUGUAAACUUCUUUUCUCAGAGACGAAAAAAUGACGGUAUCUGAGGAAUAAGCAUCGGCUAACUCUGUGCCAGCAGCCGCGGUAAU
rnacentral:rRNA from 1 species